rnacentral:sRNA from 1 species
UGAUAUACAGGAUGAAAAGCGUGGGGC